rnacentral:rRNA from 1 species
UAUUACAGCAAUUCACACCAGAAGGCACCAAAUCCUGUCCAAUCUUUGAAGCUAAGCUGUUUAUAGCGUCUUCAGUACUGUAUUGGGGGGCCCCACGGGAAUAAGACGUGCCAAAAUAU